rnacentral:rRNA from 1 species
UACAGAGGGUGCGAGCGUUGUUCGGAAUUAUUGGGCGUAAAGGGUGCGUAGGCGGUCGGGUAAGUCUGAUGUGAAAUCUCACAGCUUAACUGUGAAACUGCAUUGGAUACUAUCCGGCUAGAGGAAUGGAGGGGAGACUGGAAUACUUGGUGUAGCAGUGAAAUGCGUAGAUAUCAAGUGGAACACCAGUGGCGAAGGCGAGUCUCUGGACAUUUCCUGACGCUGAGGCACGAAAGCCAGGGGAGCAAACGGG